GAUGAACGCUGGCGGCGUGCCUAAUACAUGCAAGUCGAGCGAACAGAUGAGGAGCCUGCUCCUCUGACGUUAGCGGCGGACGGGUGAGUAACACGUGGAUAACCUACCUAUAAGACUGGGAUAACUUCGGGAAACCGGAGCUAAUACCGGAUAAUAUAUUGAACCGCAUGGUUCAAUAGUGAAAGACGGUUUUGCUGUCACUUAUAGAUGGAUCCGCGCCGCAUUAGCUAGUUGGUAAGGUAACGGCUUACCAAGGCAACGAUGCGUAGCCGACCUGAGAGGGUGAUCGGCCACACUGGAACUGAGACACGGUCCAGACUCCUACGGGAGGCAGCAGUAGGGAAUCUUCCGCAAUGGGCGAAAGCCUGACGGAGCAACGCCGCGUGAGUGAUGAAGGUCUUCGGAUCGUAAAACUCUGUUAUUAGGGAAGAACAAUGUGUAAGUAACUAUGCACGUCUUGACGGUACCUAAUCAGAAAGCCACGGCUAACUACGUG
rnacentral:rRNA from 1 species